rnacentral:rRNA from 1 species
GCGUUAUCCGGAAUUACUGGGUGUAAAGGGAGAGUAGGCGGUCAUGAUAAGUUAGAUGUGAAAGCCUUGGGCUUAACCCGAGGAUUGCAUUUAAAACUAUCAAGCUAGAGUACAGGUAGAGGUAAGUGGAAUUCCUAGUGUAGACGGUGAAAUGCGUAGAUAUUAGGAAGAACACCAGUGGCGAAGGCGACUUACUGGACUGAAACUGACGCUGAGGCUCGAAAGCGUGGGGAGC